AAGAAAAAUUGGUUGUAGUAGUAACAGUAAUAGUAAUAGUAAUAGUAGUAGUAGUAGUAUAGUAGUAGUAAUAUAAUAUUUUCAGAAUGAUUUUCAUACUUCAUUGCACAUGCUUUAUUUUUUGUGUAACAUCGAGAGCAAGUAAAGAAAACGACAACGAUAUUGUAAUUAAAAAAAAAAAAA